rnacentral:rRNA from 1 species
GAUGAACGCUGGCUACAGGCUUAACACAUGCAAGUCGAGGGGAAACGACGGGGAAGCUUGCUUCCUUGGGCGUCGACCGGCGCACGGGUGAGUAACGCGUAUCCAACCUGCCUCUGACUGAGGGAUAACCCGUCGAAAGUCGGCCUAAUACCUCAUGGUAUCGUCUGCGGGCAUCCAACGACGAUUAAAGAUUUCAUCGGUCAGGGAUGGGGAUGCGUCUGAUUAGCUUGUUGGCGGGGUAACGGCCCACCAAGGCUACGAUCAGUAGGGGUUCUGAGAGGAAGGUCCCCCACAUUGGAACUGAGACACGGUCCAAACUCCUACGGGAGGCAGCAGUGAGGAAUAUUGGUCAAUGGGCGAGAGCCUGAACCAGCCAAGUAGCGUGCAGGAAGACGGCCCUAUGGGUUGUAAACUGCUUUUAUGCGGGGAUAAAGUGAGGGACGUGUCCUUCAUUGCAGGUACCGCAUGAAUAAGGACCGGCUAAUUCCGUGCCAGCAGCCGCGGUAAUACGGAAGGUCCUGGCGUUAUCCGGAUUUAUUGGGUUUAAAGGGAGCGUAGGCCGUGUAUUAAGCGUGUUGUGAAAUGCAGGUGCUCAACGUCUGCACUGCAGCGCGAACUGGUCCACUUGAGUGUGCGCAACGCAGGCGGAAUUCGUCGUGUAGCGGUGAAAUGCUUAGAUAUGACGAAGAACUCCGAUUGCGAAGGCAGCUUGCGGGAGCACAACUGACGCUGAAGCUCGAAAGUGCGGGUAUCGAACAGG